CUUUUACGACGGAGCCUAAGAUAUUCUUUGUCUUGUCGUGAAUGCUGACCAGUGAGAUGCCAGCCUGCGUGUGAAGAUCCUACAGCAGAAGUGCAUGGCCAGUGACACAAGAACUUGCGAGAGAUGCCAGUCCGCCUGUGAAGAUCCUGCAGCAGGAGUGCAUGUGAGUGGUGCUCUGUUUUGUUUUCUGCUGAGCUUACUGUCGUUGGUCUAGUCUAUGAUGAUCCUAUCCCGAACCUGAAUUCCUGUUGAAAAACCAUACUUACGGAUCUGGCUUCUGAGAUGGACCAUUGCAAAGGACUAUUGUGUUCUUCUUUAAUGUUGGCAGUAACAUAAUGCCUGUGUUCUUAUUUUUAUAUUUUAGAGCCAGUGACACAAGACGUGCGAAUGAAAACUAGAUGUGACCAUCCAGAAAAAGCAUAGACAAAAAAAUGCAGUCUUAGUACUGGGAUGUUUGAGAUGGGGUCUAUCUACAUGUCUCUAGCUGUCCCUAUCAGGACAGCAUCUGGUGUGGCCUGCAGAGUUGAUUCCUGUACUUUUUUUUUUUUGUGGGCUGUAUGUAAAUGGAUUGUUUUGACAAUCCAUUCGACAGUGUUCUCUUCUGUGAAGGUCAUAGGUGAGCUGAUUGACAGACACAGCUGUACAGACUGAAUGCAAUCCUGACUAUAAAGCUGCAGUUCAUCAUUAUGAGCUAUUUCCUUAUUCUGGCAGUGAUUGAAAUAAAAUGGGGAGUAUUGAAAUAAAAAA
rnacentral:lncRNA from 1 species